CCCCUCUCAGGGUCGCAGCUGGAGAAUUUCCAGUAGUCUACUACUCUCAACCACAGGAGGGAGAGUCAAGCAGAAUCAUAUCCAUUCCAUUUCUAGCUUGGGCAGUGGCUAGUGAGUGGAAGGCAAUCUGCUACAAGU